rnacentral:rRNA from 1 species
GACAGAGGGUGCAAACGUUGUUCGGAUUUACUGGGCGUAAAGCGCGUGUAGGCGGCUUUGCAAGUCGGAUGUGAAAUCCCACGGCUCAACCGUGGAAGUGCAUCCGAAACUGCAUCGCUCGAGUCUCGGAGAGGAAGGUGGAAUGCUUGGUGUAGAGGUGAAAUUCGUAGAUAUCAAGCAGAACACCCGUGGCGAAGGCGGCUCUCUGGAACGCAACUGACGCUGAGACGCGAAAGCGUGGGGAGCAAACAGG